GACGAACGCUGGCGGCGUGCCUAACACAUGCAAGUCAACUUGACUGAAGGAGCAAUCUGACAGUAGAGUGGCGCAAGGGUGCGUAACGCGUAAGUAACUUGCCCCAAGGUAAGGAAUAACGUCGAGAAAUCGGCGCUAAUACCUCAUAAUGCAGCGGAUCCGCAUGGAUAUGUUGUUAAAGGUUUACCGCCUUGGGAUAGGCUUGCGUCUGAUUAGCUAGUUGGUGUGGUAACGGCACACCAAGGCUACGAUCAGUAACUGGUCUGAGAGGAUGAUCAGUCACACUGGAACUGAGACACGGUCCAGACUCCUACGGGAGGCAGCAGUGAGGAAUAUUGGGCAAUGCUCGAAAGAGUGACCCAGCAACGCCGCGUGGAGGAUGAAGGUAUUCUAUAUCGUAAACUCCUGUGAGAGCAGACGAAAGACAGAUUAUUAAUCUGGAUGACUGUAUGCUCAGAGGAAGCCCCGGC
rnacentral:rRNA from 1 species